UUCUGACUCCUCCUGGUCCAGAGUGGAUCUCCUCUCCUGCUUCCAUAGCUCCUCCUUAACAUUAUGUAGCAGGAACAAACACAUUCCUAACCCAGAUUCUUGACAGUGAGUCCAUUUCUACAAGUAUAGGGAGGAGCAGGAGAGGAAACAAUGAGAAGUUUGAUCUUUGUUAUUUGCUUUUCAAACUGGAAA